rnacentral:rRNA from 1 species
GACGAACGCUGGCGGCGUGCUUAACACAUGCAAGUCGAACGGAAAGGCCCUGCUUGCAGGGUGCUCGAGUGGCGAACGGGUGAGUAACACGUGGGUGAUCUGCCCCUUACUUUGGGAUAAGCCUGGGAAACUGGGUCUAAUACUGGAUAGGACCAUGCUGUAGGUGGUGUGGUGGAAAGAUUAGUUUCGGUAAGGGAUGAGCUCGCGGCCUAUCAGCUUGUUGGUGGGGUAAUGGCCUACCAAGGCGUCGACGGGUAGCCGGCCUGAGAGGGUGGACGGCCACAUUGGGACUGAGAUACGGCCCAGACUCCUACGGGAGGCAGCAGUGGGGAAUAUUGCACAAUGGGCGCAAGCCUGAUGCAGCGACGCCGCGUGGGGGAUGACGGCCUUCGGGUUGUAAACUCCUUUCAGCCAUGACGAAGCCCUUGUGGUGACGGUAGUGGUAGAAGAGGCACCGGCUAACUACGUG